CCCCGCUUAGCUCAACGGCAGAGCGUUCGGCUGUAGCCCGAAAGGUUGCUGGUUCAAACGAGAAACGCGGUUCAGGUUUCCAAGAACUGCGUUCUGUGACAAUCCGGCAGCGGGGA
rnacentral:tRNA from 1 species